CCUACGGGAGGCAGCAGUGGGGGAUAUUGCACAAUGGGGGAAACCCUGAUGCAGCGACGCCGCGUGAGUGAAGAAGUAUUUCGGUAUGUAAAGCUCUAUCAGCAGGGAAGAAAGUGACGAUGGUACCUUAAGAAGCCGCCCCGAACUACUACCCACCAGCCGCGGCAAUACGUAGGGGGCAAGAGUUAUCCGGCUUUACUGGGUGUAAAGGGAGCGUAGACGGCAGUACAAGUCUGGAGUGAAAGGCGGGGGCUUAACCCCGGGACUGCUUUGGAAACUGUGUAACUAGAGUGCAGGAGAGGUAGGUGGAAUUCCUAGUGUAGCGGUGAAAUGCGUAGAUAUUAGGAGGAACACCAGUGGCGAAGGCGGCUUGCUGGACUGUAACUGACGUUGAGGCUCGAAAGCGUGGGGAGCAAACAGGAUUAGAUACCCGAGUAGUC
rnacentral:rRNA from 1 species